rnacentral:tRNA from 1 species
UGGGGUGUAGCUUAAUGGUAAGAGUGCUUGCCCAGCAGGUAAGACCAUGGGUUUGAUCCCCAGCACCACAA